CUCAGCAGGCCUGAGCCUUGUGCCUCUUCACCUUGGGGGCACAGUAUCACCAUGCAGAGGGACACUCAUGCUUCUUCCCAUCCUGGCUUUUCUGCAUCCUGCUCCAGGACACAUUGUGCUACAUGCUGGGUCCUCACAGAGGAAGAGUCCUGCCUCCACCUCCUGGUCUGAUAGUCGGACACGACUGAGCAACUGAACAGUCAUCUUCAUCAGCUGAGUACUUCCUCCUGUGGCAGGACAACACAUACUAUAGCACUCAUCACACUGAUGUAUUAAUUUAUCUGCUCCCUCAAUCCAGACCAUUCAAGUACUACUAAGAGCUGCAGCUAUAAAGGCAAGAGGUAGACUACAACAAAUUCCUGCAAGGACAACAUUUUAUCCUUAAACUUCAGUACACUUGAUGGUCAAGAACAAUUGGCUACAUACAUUCUUUUUCUUCUGUGAGAUUUGACCUGCUCACAUGUAAACGGAAUUUAUAAUGUUGGUAUCAUGCUCCCCUGCUUGGAGCCUGGAGGGGAGUAUAUCAGCAGUAAGUGGUAGUCAG
ensembl:lncRNA